rfam:Dipodomys ordii contig_2272, whole genome shotgun sequence.
GCAAAGGUGGCUCAGUGGCAGAGUGCUUGCCUCACAUGCAUGAGACCCUGAGUUCGAUUCCUUAGCA